rnacentral:rRNA from 1 species
GGGAAUAUUGGACAAUGGGCGAAAGCCUGAUCCAGCAAUGCCGCGUGUGUGAAGAAGGUCUUCGGAUUGUAAAGCACUUUCGACGGGGACGAUGAUGACGGUACCCGUAGAAGAAGCCCCGGCUAACUUCGUGCCAGCAGCCGCGGUAAUACGAAGGGGGCUAGCGUUGCUCGGAAUGACUGGGCGUAAAGGGCGCGUAGGCGGAUGGUACAGUCAGAUGUGAAAUUCCUGGGCUUAACCUGGGGACUGCAUUUGAUACGUAUGAUCUAGAGUGAGGAAGAGGGUCGUGGAAUUCCCAGUGUAGAGGUGAAAUUCGUAGAUAUUGGGAAGAACACCGGUGGCGAAGGCGGCGACCUGGUCCUUGACUGACGCUGAGGCGCGAAAGCGUGGGGAGCAAA